UGUGUAUGUGUAUAUAUAUACUUAGAUCAUAUGUAUUAAGGCAGUUUUGCCUGUAUUUGUGGGAGGGGCUUAAAUUAAUUCACUCACCUAUAUAAGGGACACCCCUUACCUGACUCAUAUCGCUUGAGGUCAGCAUCAGAAUGAUUUCCACUUCCGGGUCAUCCAGACGCCAUUUUACCUGAUUACUCCAUGAGGUUUUCUAAGCAGAGCUGUGUC